GUUAGUGGUUGGAGUAGGGUUAGGGGUAGGGAUAGGGUUAGGGGUUGGGGUAGGGUUAGUGGUUGGGGUAGGUUUAGGGUAGCGUACCCCUCACCCUACCCCUAACCUAACCCUAUGCUAACCCUACCUCUAGACCUACCCCUACUCCUAAACUAACCCUACCCCUUACCCUUUUUCUAACCCUACCUCUAACCCUACCCCUAACCCUUAACCAACCCUAACCCUACUCUACCCCUAACCUAACCUUACCUCUAAC